CUCCCUCACUCCGUUCGCCGUCGGUCCUCUUGCAGCUUGCCACCCGGCUGCCUGCCCAUGCCGUCGUCUGCUCGCUCGUCCUUGCGUCGUCCCCAUCCUUAUCCCAAGCCGGCCGCCUGCUCUCUUCCUCGUCUCCCUGGCUCUGCCCCUUUUCUUCUUCCUAUAGCUCCCACUGACCGAGCUCGAGCAGCUCAAUGUCAGCCGGCCAAAUCCGUCGGCCACACCUCCUCCCUCUCCGAUUCCGCGCGCCCAAGCCUUCCCCACCCCUUCCUCUCCUCCUUGCUCGCCUAUGAAGGCAGCUCCGGCCACCGAUGUGGCUGGAGUUCCACAUCUCGUGGCCGCUGGGCACCUCAUGGCAGCUGCCAGUCACCUUGCUGGUGAACUCUAUCUUCCCGGCCACCAGGGGUACCACUACCAAUGCCUGUGUAUCUAGCACUCCGGUCCCUGCAGCACAAGAUGCUCCUACACGGUGGCUCCUCCAUGUGCUGGUGCUCCUUCCCAGCACUUCAGUAGGCAACAGAGACCGUGUAUCUGACGUCGUAGUGGACACUCUGGAGCAGCAGGGAUCCCAGGACCGGCAGGGGAAGGAGUAACAAGGCCAACCCAAGGCUGGAAAAGCUGGCCCAAGGCCUUGAUAGCAUUAACACUGACUUAGUGUUAACUCUAGGCAAGCCCCGGAGCAUAACCCUUAAUUUCAGUAUUCGAUGUUUAUUAUAUAA